rnacentral:tRNA from 1 species
GGAGGGAUACCGAAGUGGCCAAACGGGAAGGACUCAAGAUCCUUUGGCUUAGUGCCUUCAGGGGUUCGAAUCCUCUUCCCUCCA